CUCGGCCGCGCCGGGGAACCGCAGCGCUGCAGGGAGGAACACGAGCAAACCCCGUUAGUUACACCCGGUUAGUGAGGAAAGAACAGCAGCCAGCGGCCGUGGGGACGGACAGUGUGAAACACUAAUGUUAUCCUUCAGGAAGGCAGCAGAUGCGAAGGCUCCUGAUGGUUCUAGCAAUAGUGCCCUGCACAAGCUGUCUGCUGUUGGAUGUAAGGAUGAAUGGGAGCAAAAGAGGAAGAGGAGGGCUUCACACUUACCCCUUGCAGUGUAACAGAAUGAGAAAUGGGGCUUUUGCAGCCAGUAAAUAGGGCAAAGUGAGAACUGGCUCCCUGAGGUGAUGGGUGUCAAAAAUGCUAGGGGACCUAAAGGCCAGAGAUGCCUCAUGGCGAGUGAAUUGGCCCUAACUUCCCCAAAUUAUGCCAAAGGUUGGCCAGAAAAUUUUACAGUCAUAAGCUUUUGAUCGGAAUGGAUAGAUUGCCAUUUCUGUUCACUGCAGUUUCUAUUAAAAAUAUACAACCUUGUCAUCUUA